AGUGAACGCUGGCGGUAGGCCUAACACAUGCAAGUCGAACGGCAGCACAGUAAGAGCUUGCUCUUACGGGUGGCGAGUGGCGGACGGGUGAGGCAUACAUCGGAAUCUACUUUUUCGUGGGGGAUAACGUAGGGAAACUUACGCUAAUACCGCAUACGACCUACGGGUGAAAGCAGGGGAUCUUCGGACCUUUCGCGAUUGAAUGAGCCGAUGUCGGAUUAGCUAGUUGGCGGGGUAAAGGCCCACCAAGGCGACGAUCCGUAGCUGGUCUGAGAGGAUGAUCAGCCACACUGGAACUGAGACACGGUCCAGACUCCUACGGGAGGCAGUAGUGGGGAAUAUUGGACAAUGGGCGAAAGCCUGAUCCAGCAAUACCGCGUGGGUGAAGAAGGCCUUCGGGUUGUAAAGCCCUUUUGUUGGGAAAGAAAAGCAGCAGGUUAAUCCCCCGCUGUUCUGACGGUACCCAAAGAAUAAGCACCGGCUAACUUCGUG
rnacentral:rRNA from 1 species